rnacentral:rRNA from 1 species
UACGGAGGGGGCAAGCGUUAUUCGGAAUUACUGGGCGUAAAGGGCGCGUAGGCGGUACUUCAAGUCAGGCGUGAAAGCCCCGGGCUCAACCUGGGAACCGCGCUUGAGACUGGAGAACUAGAGUUCGGGAGAGGAUGGUGGAAUUCCCAGUGUAGAGGUGAAAUUCGUAGAUAUUGGGAAGAACACCGAUGGCGAAGGCAGCCAUCUGGACCGACACUGACGCUGAGGCGCGAAAGCGUGGGGAGCAAACAGG